UACAGAGGGGGCAAGCGUUGUUCGGAAUUACUGGGCAUAAAGCGCACGUAGGUGGUCCGCUAAGUCGCGUGUGAAAUCCCUCGGCUCAACCGAGGAAUUGCGGGCGAUACUGGCGGGCUAGAGAUCGGGAGGGGUGAGUGGAACUCCAGGUGGAGCGGUGAAAUGCGUAGAUAUCUGGAGGAACACCGGUGGCGAAAGCGACUCACUGGCCCGACACUGACACUGAGGUGCGAAAGCUAGGGUAGCAAACGGG
rnacentral:rRNA from 1 species